rnacentral:rRNA from 1 species
GUGCCAGCAGCCGCGGUAAUACGUAGGUGGCAAGCGUUAUCCGGAAUUAUUGGGCGUAAAGCGCGCGUAGGCGGUUUUUUAAGUCUGAUGUGAAAGCCCACGGCUCAACCGUGGGGGGUCAUUGGAAACUGGAAAACUUGAGUGCAGAAGAGGAAAGUGGAAUUCCAUGUGUAGCGGUGAAAUGCGCAGAGAUAUGGAGGAACACCAGUGGCGAAGGCGACUUUCUGGUCUGUAACUGACGCUGAUGUGCGAAAGCGUGGGGAUCAAACAGGAUUAGAUA